CUAGCCGUAAACGAUGGAUACUAGGCGUUGUGAGUAUCGACCCUCACAGUGUCGUAGCUAACGCGUUAAGUAUCCCGCCUGGGGAGUACGCGCGCAAGCGUGAAACUCAAAGGAAUUGAUGGGGGCCCGCACAAGCGGUGGAGUAUGUGGUUUAAUUCGAUGCAACGCGAAGAACCUUACCAGGACUUGACAUGUCGCGAAUCUCAGGGAAACUUGAGAGUGCCUUCGGGAGCGCGAACACAGGUGGUGC
rnacentral:rRNA from 1 species